GUGAGGAAUAUUGGACAAUGGGCGCAAGCCUGAUCCAGCCAUGCCGCGUGCAGGAAGACGCAUCUAUGGUGUGUAAACUGCUUUUGUACGGGAAGAAACACUCCCUCGUGAGGGAGCUUGACGGUACCGUAAGAAUAAGGAUCGGCUAACUCCGUGCCAGCAGCCGCGGUAAUACGGAGGAUUCAAGCGUUAUCCGGAAUCAUUGGGUUUAAAGGGUCUGUAGGCGGUUUAAUAAGUCAGUGGUGAAAGCCGAUCGCUCAACGAUGGAACGGCCAUUGAUACUGUUAGACUUGAAUUACAAGGAAGUAACUAGAAUAUGUAGUGUAGCGGAGAAAUGCUUAGAUAUUACAUGGAAUACCAAUUGCGAAGGCAGGUUACUACUUGUGGAUUGACGCUGAUGGACGAAAGCGUGGGGAGCGAACAGGAUUAGAUACCCUAGUAGUCC
rnacentral:rRNA from 1 species